rnacentral:lncRNA from 1 species
CAAGGAGCUGCUGCUGAAGACAGAGGACAGUCAGUCUGUGAACACAGGGCAGCGUUCCAUCACCCAGCACUUCUGGCCUUGGAAGACACUACUGAAGUCCAGAGAGGUUAAGACACUAGUCUAGAGUCACACAGUGGGAGUGAAGAGUGACCGCCUUCCCCUCUGCUCCUCUCUCCGUCCAGCCUGGGUCUGGCCCUAGCUGGCUGGCCUGUGUUGCGCCACCUGAGUGUGGAGUGUGUGGAGUGCACUAAGCUGACCGAGGUGGACGAGUUUCCACUGGCCCCACUGGAGGCAUCUUGAGCCAGCCUGCACCAUGGAGAGAUUUCAUGGAAGUCCCCAGGGCCCUGAUUUUUGGGGUGCCCAAGGUCUCACACCUAACACCAGGAAGAGUCUCAAAAGCUGCCUGGUCCUGGCCCCCUCCUCAGACCUGGGUGAGCAGAGCCCCCCAGAUAGUCCACCUGGCCUAGACUUGUACCUGUGAUGAACCGGCUAAAGGGC